UACGGGGGGAGCAAGCGUUGUUCGGAUUUACUGGGCGUAAAGGGCGCGCAGGCGGUAGCACAAGUCAGUUGUGAAAUCUCCGGGCUUAACUCGGAAAGGUCAACUGAUACUGUGCGACUAGAGUGCAGAAGGGGCAACUGGAAUUCUCGGUGUAGCGGUGAAAUGCGCAGAUAUCAGGAAGAACACCCGUGGCGAAAGCGGCUCUCUGGAACGGUACUGACGCUGAGACGCGAAAGCGUGGGGAGCGAACAGG
rnacentral:rRNA from 1 species